GACGAACGCUGGCGGCGUGCUUAACACAUGCAAGUCGAACGAAGUGGCGAACGGGUGAGUAACGCGUAAUCAACCUGCUCUUCAGAGGGGGACACCACUUGGAACCGACUCCUAAUCCCCCAUACUGAAGGAGGGGUUUGCGUCUGCUUAGCUUGGUGGGGGGGCAACGGCCCACCAAGGUGAGGAUCAGUAGCCGGUCUGGGAGGGUGAACAGGCACAUUGGGACUGAGGCACGGGCCAGACUCCUACGGGGAGGCGCAGGGGGGAAUCUUCCGCAAUGGGGGAAAAGCUGGCGGAGCAACGCCGCGGGAGUGAUGACGGCUCUCGGGUUGUAAAGCUCUGUUAAGCGGGACGCGGUACCGGAAUAGAAAGCAACGGCUAACUACGUGCCAGCAGCCGCGGUAAUUC
rnacentral:rRNA from 1 species